AGUACAUGGAAGUAAAGUUGGAAGUUCCUGUAAGUUCUGGACAAGGAAGUCCUAGUAAUAAUGAGACGAAAAAGGAUAUCGUGGAUGAUACAAAUAGCCAAAAGCCUCAUGGGGAAUCUGUUGUACAGGAUGACUCAACUAGUUUAUCAAAGAAAGAGAGCAUCGAAGUUGAGAAAGGAACUGAUCCAGUCAAGCAAGAAAAUUCUGCACAACCUGCUGAUAUUGCAGCAGGAACUAAGUCUGGAAAGCCAAAAAUAAAGGGGGUAUCAUUGACUGAACUUUUCACACCUGAACAAGUUAGGGAGCAUAUUAUAGGCCUCAGGCAAUGGGUUGGCCAGAGUAAGUCAAAGGCAGAAAAGAACCAAGCAAUGGAGCAUUCAAUGAGUGAGAACUCUUGUCAGUUGUGUGCAGUUGAAAAGCUUACUUUUGAACCACCACCAAUAUAUUGCACUCCAUGUGGUGCUCGCAUUAAGCGAAAUGCAAUGUAUUAUACUAUGGGAGCUGGUGAUACACGGCACUACUUCUGUAUUCCAUGCUAUAAUGAGGCCCGUGGAGACACUAUCAUCGUUGAUGGGAGUGCUAUCCCAAAGGCAAGGCUUGAGAAGAAGAAAAAUGAUGAGGAGACGGGAGAAUGGUGGGUUCAAUGUGACAAGUGUGAAGCUUGGCAACAUCAAAUUUGUGCUUUAUUUAAUGGUCGAAGAAAUGAUGGUGG
rnacentral:misc_RNA from 1 species